AUACCUUUCUCGGCCUUUUGGCUAAGAUCAAGUGUAGUAUCUGUUCUUAUCAGUUUAAUAUCUGAUAUGUGGGCCAUGUGCCCACAAUGAUAUUAAAUUUAUUUCUUGUGGGGGAGAGUCCACCACACUAGCUUGCUAGUGGGGCUCUCUUGUGUCGCCUGGGCGUCGCACUACUGGCCAGGCCAGGCGCACCCCAA
rfam:Triticum aestivum genome assembly, contig: Triticum_aestivum_CS42_TGACv1_scaffold_543083_6DS